AAAUAAUGGGCUCGAGGGUUUCGGCUUCCUUCUUCAUUUUCUUGAUCGCCACGGUCAUCACAUUGCCACCAACGAUCCAAGCUUGCACUCCUUGCACUCACCCUCACCCUCCUGUCCCGAAGCCUCCACAUCAAGGUGGUGGUGGUGGCGGCGGCGGCGGUGGUGGAGGCGGUGGCGGUGGAGGCGGUGACGGUGGAGGCGGUGGAGGUGGAGGCGGUGGAAGAGGAGGCGGCAAACCACCACAUCACAGAGGAAAAGGUGGUAGUAAACCGCCAUAUCACGGUGGAAAAGGUGGUGGGCCGCCGCAUCAUGGUGGUGGUGGUGGUGGGCCACCGCAUCAUGGUGGAGGGACAUCACCGCCGUUUGUUAGACCUCCUCCGGUGGUUUAUCCACCACCAGUGGUGAGGCCACCGCCUAUCUCAAGACCUCCUCCAGUCGUCUAUCCACCACCAAUGGUAAGACCUCCUCCGGUCACAACUCCUCCAGGAAUUCUCCCUCCGAUCAUUAACCCACCUCCGGUCACAACUCCUCCAGGAAUUCUCCCUCCAAUCACAACACCUCCAGGACUUCUCCCUCCGAUCAUUAACCCACCUCCGAUCACAACUCCACCACCAUCCUCUGGUUAUCCACCGUAUCAUGGUGGUCCACCUUCCGGAGGAGGAAGUGCUCAACCAACUUGUCCGAUCAACGCAUUGAAGCUUGGAGCUUGUGUUGACGUUUUGGGAGGUUUGAUUCA
rnacentral:lncRNA from 1 species